ACUCAAAGGAAUUGACGGGGGCCCGCACAAGCGGAGGAACAUGUGGUUUAAUUCGAUGAUACGCGAGGAACCUUACCCGGGCUCGAACGGCUUUUGAAUAUAGAUGAAAGUCUAUAGUCGCAAGACAGAAGUCGAGGUGCUGCAUGGUUGUCGUCAGCUCGUGCCGUGAGGUGUCGGCUUAAGUGCCAUAACGAGCGCAACCCUUACCGUUAGUUACCAUCAGGUCAUGCUGGGGACUCUAACGGGACUGCCACCGUAAGGUGUGAGGAAGGUGGGGAUGACGUCAAAUCAGCACGGCCCUUACGUCCGGGGCUACACACGUGUUACAAUGGGGGGCACAAAGGGAUGCUACCAAGCGAUUGGAUGCCAAUCCUUAAAAACCCCUCCCAGUUCGGAUUGGAGUCUGCAACCCGACUCCAUGAAGCUGGAUUCGCUAGUAAUCGCGCAUCAGCCAUGGCGCGGUGAAUACGUUCCCGGGCCUUGUACACACCGCCCGU
rnacentral:rRNA from 1 species